rnacentral:rRNA from 1 species
AUUGAACGCUGGCGGCAUGCUUUACACAUGCAAGUCGAACGGUAACAGGCCUUCGGGUGCUGACGAGUGGCGAACGGGUGAGUAAUGCAUCGGAACGUGCCCAGAGGUGGGGGAUAACGCAGCGAAAGCUGUGCUAAUACCGCAUGUGAUCUGAGGAUGAAAGCGGGGGACCAGGCAGCAAUGUUUGGCCUCGCGCCUUUGGAGCGGCCGAUGUCAGAUUAGGUAGUUGGUGGGGUAAAGGCCUACCAAGCCGACGAUCUGUAGCUGAUCUGAGAGGACGACCAGCCACACUGGGACUGAGACACGGCCCAGACUCCUACGGGAGGCAGCAGUGGGGAAUUUUGGACAAUGGGCGCAAGCCUGAUCCAGCAAUGCCGCGUGCGGGAAGAAGGCCUUCGGGUUGUAAACCGCUUUUGUACGGAACGAAAAGGCUCUGGCUAAUACCUGGGGCUGAUGACGGUACCGUAAGAAUAAGCACCGGCUAACUACGUG